AACCUGUGUUGUGGACACUUCCGCAAAAGGUCCUUGAAUCACUCCCAAGCCUCAAAUAAGGAUUCAAGUUCAAUCUGAACAAAUUAAGAUACCUCAUUGCGAAGCUU